rnacentral:tRNA from 1 species
GACUCGGUAGCUAGUUGGUAAAGCAGUCGUCCAGCAUACAAGAGUCGUGGGUUUGAUUCCCACCUGAGCA